rnacentral:tRNA from 1 species
GCCAGCGUGGCACAACCUGGUACUGCGCAGGACUGGAAAUCCUGUUCUCGCAAGGGUUUCCCGGUUCAAAUCCGGGCGCUGGCG